AGGGUUCGAUUCUGGCUCAGGAUGAACGCUAGCGACAGGCCUAACACAUGCAAGUCGAGGGUGAAGUUGGAAGUGGCUUGCCACGGAAGAUGGAAACCGGCGCACGGGUGCGUAACAGGUAUGCAAUCUGUCCUAUACCGGGGGGAUAGCCCGCUGAAAAGCGGAUUAACACUCCAUGUGCCGUUGAAGGGCAUCCUUUAAUGGUGAAACGUGAGGGUAUAGGGUGAGCAUGCUUCUGAUUAGGUAGUUGGUGGGGUAACGGCCCACCAAGCCGACGAUCAGUAGGGGUUCUGAGAGGAAGGUCCCCCCACAUUGGAACUGAGACACGGUCCAAACUCCUACGGGAGGCAGCAGUGAGGAAUAUUGGUCAAUGGACGGAAGUCUGAACCAGCCAAGUCGCGUGAAAGGAUGAAGGUUCUAUGGAUUGUAAACUUCUUUUGUCAGAGGGUAAAGGUUGGUACGUGUACUGAUUGGAAAGUAUCUGACGAAUAAGCAUCGGCUAACUCCGUGCCAGCAGCGGC
rnacentral:rRNA from 1 species